CCUACGGGAGGCAGCAGUGGGGAAUUUUGGACAAUGGACGCAAGUCUGAUCCAGCAAUGCCGCGUGCAGGAUGAAGGCCUUCGGGUUGUAAACUGCUUUUGUACGGAACGAAAAGGUCUGCCCUAAUACGGUGGGCCCAUGACGGUACCGUAAGAAUAAGCACCGGCUAACUACGUGCCAGCAGCCGCGGUAAUACGUAGGGUGCAAGCGUUAAUCGGAAUUACUGGGCGUAAAGCGUGCGCAGGCGGUUAUAUAAGACAGAUGUGAAAUCCCCGGGCUCAACCUGGGACCUGCAUUUGUGACUGUAUAGCUAGAGUACGGUAGAGGGGGAUGGAAUUCCGCGUGUAGCAGUGAAAUGCGUAGAUAUGCGGAGGAACACCGAUGGCGAAGGCAAUCCCCUGGACCUGUACUGACGCUCAUGCACGAAAGCGUGGGGAGCAAACAGGAUUAGAUACCCUGGUAGUCCACGCCCUAAACGAUGUACAACUGGUUGUUGGACUCCUUACUGUAUACUAGUAACGAAGACUACGACGUGAGUAGACCGCCGNGGGAGGACGGUCCGGCGAGUUAGUUAAACGUUAAAGUUAAAGUUAGUACGGCGNGAGACGNGCGACGGACGACGACGAGGGAGGAGG
rnacentral:rRNA from 1 species